rnacentral:lncRNA from 1 species
UUUCUCUCCUCUUAAUAAGCCGCUCCUCCUCUCUGAAUAUGUCUGAUCUUUUUCCUUUCCUCUUCAAGAAAAGUUACAGACCUCUUUAACUAUGGAUGAAGUUUGCUUCGCCAUUGUCUUGUCGUGGCUCGUCUAAGUAUGGCUAAUCUGAAUUAUGUUAUCCCUGUUUUCCUAAAAAUAAGUAAAACUUGACCUCUUGCUCGGUGCUUGUUUGACACAGUUUUGUAUGUGCGUCACAGGUUCUGUCUUCACUGUGUGUUAACGCCUUCGCUAUUUAUUAAGUUUAAUAAAAUAUAUAUUAGCGAUAUUCCUCUCCCCUUUCCCCAUUUCACGUCUUUGUUGUAUGAUAUUAUGAUUAUCUUAAAGAGAUCACGUUUUGUGAGUAAAGUUUACUUUGCUUAGUUAAAUUAACUUGUGAUGUUACAAAAAUG